rnacentral:rRNA from 1 species
UACGGAGGGUGCAAGCGUUAUCCGGAUUCACUGGGUUUAAAGGGUGCGUAGGUGGGUCUGUAAGUCAGUGGUGAAAUCUCCGAGCUUAACUCGGAACUGCCGUUGAUACUAUAGAUCUUGAAUAUCGCGUAGGUAAGCGGAAUAUGUCAUGUAGCGGUGAAAUGCUUAGAUAUGACAUAGAACACCAAUUGCGAAGGCAGCUUACUUCACGAUCAUUGACACUGAGGCACGAAAGCGUGGGGAGCAAACAGG